AGCCAGCCCCUGCUGCACCCCCAUGCCCAAAGCCAGCCAACCUCACACGCCCAUCUCCAGCCAACUCCGCACCCCAUCUUCAACCAGCUCCGCAUCCCCUGCCCUGCCCGAAGCCAGCCAGCCCCACACCCUGUCAGCUCGGAGAAAAGGCAGGAAUAUUUGUUGAAGGAAGCCAUCCUGGAUCAGAUGAGAGCAGCUGAUCUGGAGCAGCACACAGCAUCACAAGGUGUCAGGAAUGCAGCACUUCGACUCUCCACUGAGAGGAAUGGGGGAACUGUGAGUUUAAAGGAAUCUAUGACCCGCAAUCCCAUGUGGCAGGUGUCAUGUCAGAGUUUGGAAAGACACAGUUUUAUGGACUUACAUAAAAUGAAAAAGCAUUUGCCUCAAGACUAAUGUCCUCCAAACGAAGACGGAAAUUCUACUGGUAAAGAACUUGUUAAAAAAAUACAAUAUAUUGUCAGGGAGCAUUCAGGGUAAUAGGCAUAGAUGCUCCCCUGCAUUUGGAAUGUGUUGCACCAUGCGUCUUGCCACAGGUGCCGACUUUCAGCUUUCCUCAGGGGUGCUCCACCACCACUCUGCCCAAAGGCCCUGUCCCCAUUCUGCCCCUUCCCUCAAAGCCCAACCCUCACUCUGCCUGUUCCUGCCCCCAUCCUUUCCCCUCCUCCAGAGGCCCCACCCCACCCUGCCUCUUCUUGCCCCCGCUCCUCUCACCCACCACUGAACAGUUGAUCAGCAGUGGGCAGGAGGCACUGGGGGGAUUGGGAGGGAGACGUGCUGAUCGGCGGGGCCUGCCGAACAGCUAUUUUUUUCCCUAUGGGUGUUCCAGCCCUGGAGCACCCACGGAGUCGGCGCCUAUGCUUCCUGCAUAAAACUGCAUUAAAGGUCAAGGGCAGUGAAAUCCCACAGUAUGACAAUCCCUGCGCUGGUCAUGACCCAAUAGGCAAUGGCAACACUUCCUGCACUUCAGCUGCUAUAUCAGCCCAUUGAGACCACUGGUAGUCUGUAUAAUUUAGAAUUGCCUUCAGGCUGCCCUUUUGCAGGAGGACUGAUUUGAUGCACAUUGGUCAAUGAUCAUGGGUGUAACCAGAGUGCCUUAAAGCACCACCCUUUCCAUGUUCACGUUUUAGCCACCACCAAGAUUCUAGGCCAUAUGUUUCACUGAGGACACACCCAGUGGCUAAAACCAGCUGUGCUUGAAACUUUUUUGUGGUCAGGGAAGGGGUUUAUGGAUUAUGCCAAUCUUUCUGUAUUUUGCUUCAAGUUUUUGCCAAUAAUCUGAGUUGUGUUUUGUGCACAGAUUAACCUGAUCCUCUGUAUUAUCUGAUUUACUUUUCUAUUAUGAACUCAUACUCUUACUUAUUACAGUAAUUGGUAUAUUGUAUAUAUCUGCCUUUCCCAAUGUUCAUUGUGUAUUUAUAAUACAAUGAAAUAAAUAACAAGAAAUUAUCUUCUAACCUCUACUUCCUGUUAUCUCCUGGCCUGCUGCCCAAAAGCUGUGUGAGGAAAAGGAUGAUAUUUGAAUGGGAGACUCUCUCUUUCCUCCAGCCAAUAGACCUGCUCUGGAAGCUUGUGAUCACACUAAUCAGUUUCUACAGCAAUCUGCAUUAUAAACUCAGCCUCUGCUGGGAAGUAACUUGGGAUAACAACAAAAAAGCUCCCAUGCUAAUAUGCAAACAGCAUUUUUAGCUUUAAAUAUCCCCCGCUAUCAAAUAUCUGAUGCGAGAACUUCAAACAAUCAUACAUUCCACUGUGCUAUGAGAAACUAGUUAACAGAUCUUCAUGAAACUUUGCAAAACAAAAUAUUGCUUUUCCAAAAAGGCCAUGUACAUGGUGAUUUUCACUUAAAAGGUGAAAUUUCAAAUUUUCAUUAAUUUGAUAUAUAAACUGAUCUAGGUUCACAUGAAAUUUCAAGAAAUGGCCCUUUAAAAGGUAAACCCCUAAAAUAUGUGUUGUUUUGUAAAGUCCCAUUUUCAAGCAAAAUCCCACAAUAUUCCAGAAGGUUUUUGCUGAAGCAUGACUUCUUAUGCAAUAUCAAAAUAAAACGUGAA